CUCCCUGCCUGAGGCCCAUACAAGGCUCUUCCUUCCCGGCGUGUCUGGCAGGCGGCCCGCGGGCGGCUGUGGGCGGGAGUUCGGCCCUCCGGGUCCGCCCGCGCCCUGAAGCCGGCGGCCAGGGGACCCGCUGCCAAGGAGGGGGCGGCGGCGGGGCCGGGAACGCGCGGCCCGGCCUGGCUGAGGAACCAGCAGGCCCCCACAGGCCCUCGUACAGUGCCUCCAGGGACUUAAACCUGCCGCAGCCAUGUGGUUACCCUGAUCUAUCUGCUGGGAGAGGAGCAAAGCUCGGAGAGGGACCAGAUCUCAGCAGAGACGAAACCAGCAGCAGUUCCUGAACACCCACCCUGCCGUGGUUCCAGAAGUGCAACAUGGACCAACCUGUGAGCAUUUGCUCUUCCUCAGGGGCACUUUCCCUUUUCAAAGAAGAGUUCAGCAGUGCUUCCACCCAGAAGACUAACUUCUGAGAAACAAAACAGCUGGGAGACAGAAGGAAGUAGCUAAUCCUUGUUCUAGGGAGUACUCACUAGAGCUGGAGUAGGUCUUCCCAUAACAUGAAAGAAUAAUUAGAGUGAGAUUGAGCCAUGCCAUUGGACCACCUGGGGAGGAGGGUAUGUGGAGAGAUUUGCUGCAUUUCUAAAGAAUCUCAGAAAACAAGCUUCAUUUCAGAACCUAAACCAGCAUUUGCUUUUCUUCACUUUGAGGGAGCACAUAGGUAUUGAAUUCUCUGCCACUGGGCACACCAGGGUAUUGAAUUCUCUUCUCUGAAGUCCAUGUCUGUGGGUCUGACUGGGCCACUUGAUCAGCAAGAGGUCUCAGACACCAAACUGGGGAAUAAAUUAAACUGACAGAGUACUUGAUAUUUCCAAAGAGUCACUUAGGUUCUGUCUAUUACUGCAGUGUUCAAAACGUAGACAUAGUUCAUUGCUGUGAUUAAAGCGACUUUCACCAUUAGCCUCUUUGUUCCUGUAAGAUAUAGCGGUAGGCUAUAGCUGGUUCAUCAUUUGGGGGUGUAAUGGUUAGCUAAAGCUAUUUUUCUCCAAAGGUCCAGUUAUUACUUUAGUUUUUCUCCAAAACUUCAGCUUUAGCGGGAAAGAGCCAUAAAUUUUGUGACAUAGCUGCCUCCUUAUCUGUCUUGGGAGUUAUAGACUGCACAUAUAAGACAAUUCAUGUACCUCUGCAUAAUGAGGUGAGCUUUAAAAAUCAUCAAUCUUCACUUAACAUGCAGGUGGUGUUGGGUGCCAGCUUUAGAAAAACUGAUGUAGUUGCCAAGUUCAUGAGUGUCAUAAAUCAUUCAUGCUAAGGUAGCCCAGAAUCAUGCUGUCCUCUGAAGCAGACCAAUUUCAAGGUGGUUGUUAAACACAAAAAUGUGAGUCGGGAUGAUUGUUUUUCAAAAUCAAAUGUACUUUUUAUUUGAAGAGUAAAACCAAAUUAUCUUUCUUUUUUAAGUUGAAGUCAGUUUUCUAAGACCCUCCCUUCACCCUCAAAGAAUCUAUCAAUAAUAAUAUCUUUUCUUCCCUGAUCCCUGAAUUCUAUUAGAAAUACAUCACAAAAUAUAUAACUUGUACAUUUGCAAUCGAGACCAUUAAUGUGCUGAAAAUGAGAUUCAGAUCUCUCAAUAAAUCUUGAGGCACAUUAUUAGGGAAAAACUCUAUUAAAUUUUUGGGGGGUAUUUUCUUCUUGUGCCAUUAUUUUACAUGAAGUUGAAACCGCACAACUAAGAUGGGACUCGAACCCAACCAAAACCCAGAUUGGGAGUUGAACCCACGGACUGGGAUUCGAACUCACUGUCUUUUGAUUAAGAUUGCACAGCUGGUCUUAGGACUUAAUGAAGCUCAGGUUCGUUAUGUCUCAGCAUAGAAGGAAUUCAGCGAGAGGCAAAGUGAUAGGUAAGAAAUGGAUUUAUUUAGAGAGCUAUAGAUUUCAUAGACAGAAUGUGAUCCACCUCAAAAGGCAAGAGCAGCCCUGGGAGAAACACAGUCCACAGACAGACAGAAGAUGAGAGGCGCGAAAAUAUGGGUUGGUUAGUUUUUAUGGGCUGGAUAAUUUCAUAGGCUAAUGGGUGGGAGGAUUAUUCCAACUAUUUUGGAGAAGGGGCAGAGAUUUCCAGGAAUUGGGCCACUGCACACUUUUUGGCCUUUUAUGGUUGGCGUCGGAACUGUCAUGGCACCUGUGGGUGUGUCAUUUAGCUUGCUGAUAUAUUACAAUGAGUGUAUAAUGAGGCUCAAGGUCUACUGGAAGUUGAAUCUUCACCAUCUUGGACCUAACCGGUUCUAACCAGUGUUUGUCGUAUCCUCAAUGUCUACGUCUUUCUUUUAAAGGUUGUGCUCUGCCCCCUUCCCUCCUGUUUCAAAGUUACAAUGGAUAGUAGGCAGGCAUAGCCCUCUUCCACCCUGCCUGAGUCUUCAGGGCUAAAGAGGGGGAAGGAGUAGGGCCUAAAGAGAAGUGACCCCUGGGACAGAAAGCUUGAAGCUGAGCAGUGUGAUGUGCCCCUCUAAGUCGUCAGGCUUUAUCCAGGUUUCUGGAAGAUGGGUUUUAAACUGAAGUGUUUUAUCUGAAAUUUGCUCAUUUGAUAGAUGAAGAAGACUAUGAGGUUGGAUAUUAUUGAGGAAGGAAAACAUGCUAGUAUUUUCAGUGAGAAGACUUCAAAGAGAAAAACAGAGAGAAAAAUGAAGUUUUGCCUGAGGCUAUUAGGUUCUCAGUGGGUAGUUAAGUGUCUGUGUCCCUUUGUGUAGUCUCCAGCACAGGGCCAUACACCAGGUGACAUGUGACUUCUCUUUGGUGUAUCUCAGAAGUUCUUUUGAGGUGAAUGUGUUGAUCAUAUGGGUAGCCUUGUUUAAAGAUUGUAGGGGCCAAUUCCAGGCAGAACAUCUUUUUCACUGAGUGUAAUCUCCCACUCCCCCACUGCAAACUCACUGUUUCUUUAUGCCUCCAUGCCUUGUAUAUACCUUUCCCACUAUUUGACAAGCUCUUCUAUUUCUUGUCUAAAUGUCGAGCUCCUACUUAUCCAGUAAAACCCUCUUAAAUCUCACCUUCUCUCUAAAGCCUUCUCUGGCUUCCUGAGACGGAGCUUGUCACUUGAUCCUCUUUGCUUCUAGAAUAUUUAUUCACAGUCUUGUUAUGACACACACAUGGGAGUUAAUCAGCAUAUUCGUCCCUCCCACUAGACUGUGAGCAUCUUAAGGACAAGAACAGAGUUUUAUUAAUGUAGGUAUUGCUAGUACCCACCAUAUCUGACACCAAGUGGAAACUCAAUGAAAAAUCUCAUCCUUUUUUUUUAAAAAAUUACCCUCUCCACCUGAGCACUAACAUAAAGCCUUGGGAGAGAACAAAGCUUUUUUAAGUUACAUUUCAUCGUAAUUUGUGAAUGCUAAGACUAACUCACAAAGCGUUUACUUGAGUCCCCUAUAAAGAUGCCUAAGGGUAGAGAGCGACAGAGGCAAGGAGAAAUUUCCUGUGUUCUCACUGUGUCCUGGGAUUUUCUGUAGAUUCUGGGCAGAGUAAGUCCUGUUCUUUCUUCCUGCAUAAUAUCUCUAGGACUUGUAUGCCUUUGUCUUCUCGCUGCAGUCAUUCUAACCUAGGUGACAUCUUUCCAUACUUGAACUGUAGAAGUUAUAUCAGGUAUGACUCUCAGUUUAUAAAUUCAGGUGUAAGGGAAGUAUCACAUUUAUUUAUAAGCUUAAAUAAAGGUAAACUCCAGUUGUAUGCUCCUAUCCCAUCUGACUGGUGGGAAAUUUAACCUCAUUUAUAUUUCAUCUUCAGAUCUGAAUUUUGCUUCCAGUAUCUUAUAUUUUGCCAUGAGAUUGGAAGCGGCUUUGAGAUGCUGGUUAUUGCUGAGACACCUGCUGUGCCAUUAUUUGCACCAUCCCUUCAGGUCCAGGGCCUGAGUGUCUGAUCUUCCUCCUUGACUCACAGAAACCUUUUGUGAGGCUAUGAAUCCUGCAGCUUAGAGUCCUGUAUCCUAGUUGUAUCAUGGGGCCAGUCUUCUCUAGGGUUGUGUUCCCUCCUCAGGUGCUGCCAAGGAGCAAGGUCUGGGUCCCCCUGUUGUACAAACCCAUCUUCAUCUACAACCCAGGGGAAUCUCUUUCUAGUCUUCCUGGAGCACUUCCCUGCAUUAUGCUGCUCUGAGGCUGGUUAAUCUUGCUCUUUUAUAGUAAUCUUAAUGGUCUUUUAAAUCCCAAACCCCUAUCACUACAACCAAAACUUUUAUUUCCUUUAUAUUAAAUUUCCAUGGGUUAAGGGAAAUAUCUCUCAUCCAGUUCUUUCAGCAAAAAAAGAAAAGAAAAAUUUUAAAUCGUGUCAUAUGCUGAUCUCCUAACUGGCUUCCUUUCCAUUUUUUCCCCUCUCUUCUCCAUUCAAAUUAUUUUGUACGUUCCAAUCAGAAUAGUUGUUCUAAAGCUCUUGCCCAGAAACCCUCAGGGGCUUCUCAUUGCCUCUAGAAUAAAAAUCAAAGCUCCAAGCUCCUUAGUCUACCUUUAGGGCUUUUCAUGAUUUUCUUCACCUUUGAAAUGCGACUUCCCAUUGCUCCUUUGUCAGAGGCCCCUGGCUUAGCCCUGUUCCUCUAACCCCACACUGUCCCACCUCCUCACCACACCCGACUGAUGUGACACCCAGAACAAGUGCCAGCUCAGAAAGCUUGGUGGUUAGCGCAUUUCACAGUGAUCUAGUCCUCCAUAAACCUAGUUCUCUUCUGUACAUCCAUUUGGUACCUGAGGCUAUGGUUUAUCAUCUGGUGCCUGUUUCUGCCUUUCUCAUCUAGAUUUGUGAGCCUCUCAAGUACCGAGACCUCUACUUUCUUGUAUCCUGAGCCACCACCGGGCUCUUCAUAGUAUGGGGUGCUCACUAAAUGCUGAUUAAUGAAUAUCAUGACAUGGACACAGGAUCCUACCUAAGCACACCCAGCCCUGCCAUAUAGUGAGAAGCAGGAAAAUGAAGGGGAAAAGGGGCCAGGUUUCAUUACUGCCAUAAAAAUAAUGAGUGUUUCAUUGGUGUCUACCAUCAAGGAAUAGCCUCCUUGCUUGCCUCCAGCACCAGAAGAAGCAUUUGCCCUAACAAUGACAAACAAAUUCCACUAUCAGAGUAAGUGGUCCAGAGCUCCUCUGGGUGGUGGGCACUCUGGCUUUGCCAUCCUUUGGCUUUUCCACAGGCUGCCCUUCACAAUAGGUUUCUCUGUCAUGAAUGCAAACUAGCCAAUCACUCUUGAACAAACCAGCUUCCCUGACACCUGCUCAAAGUAAUUCUUCUCUCACCAAGCUAUGGUUAAUAAACACAAAUGAUUGCCAUUCGCUUCUUCUUGGCCAAUCCUGUGAGGGUGUCUUCACACAAAUAGGCAGGUUGACCAGAGAGGCAGCUCCAGCUCAAACUCUGGGGAAAUGGAGAGUUUCCUGCCUCAACCCUUGGGGCUUCAAGAGUACUUCACUUGCUGCUUAUACCAGCUUCCUGUGGACAACCCCCCCGCCCAUGCCAAGUCCUUUCUGGCCUUCAUGCAUGUUGAUCUAGUGAUAGGGAACAGGCAGAGGGGAUUCCAGCAUCAUCCCAGUGGUUUGACUGGAUAACCUUAAAAUUCCUUCCAGUACUUCAAAUCUUUGAUCCUAUAAUUUUCACUUGCAUUGCUUUUAAUCAACACUUAAAAUCUCCAGCUUUCUGCUGAUCCCUUCAACCUCCUCACCUCGACCCCUUUUCCACUUGAUUGAUUCAUUCUAGCCACUCAGGCCUUCUCUCAGUUCCUUCAUUGUGUUGCUUCUGCCUUCCCACAUGUCCUUUCUGCUUCCUAGGUCCCUCUUCUCACCACCAGCCAUUUGUCUAACCCUACUUAGCCUUCAGGUCCCCCCAUUUCUUUUUUUAAAAUUUAUUUAUUUUUGGCUGAGUUGGGUCUUUGUUGCUGCGCAUGGGCUUUCUCCAGUUGUGGCACGCAGGGGCUACACUUCGUUGCGGUGCGUGGGCCUCUCAUUGUGGUGGCUUCUCUUGUUGCGGAGCACAGGCUCUAGGCGCGUGGGCUUCAGUAGUUGUGGCACGUGGGCUUAGUAGUUGUGGCUCGUGGGCUUAGUUGUUCUGUGGCAUGUGGGAUCUUCCUGGACCAGGGCUCAAACCCGUGUCCCCUGCAUUGGCAGGUGGAUUCUUAACCACUGCGCCACCAGGGAAGUCCUGGGUCCCCCCAUAUUUUAAUGUCACUUGUGUAGGCAAGCUUCUUUAACCCCCAAACUAGAUUAGAUUCCUAAUGCCCAGACCGGUCCUGCAUAUUAUCUUCAACAGCGUUUUGUGCACUUAUAUUCAUUAAACCACCUUUUAGUAAAAAUUUGUUUGGUGUUUAUCUUCUCCAGUAUUUUGAAAGCUCCAUGUGCAUGGGGACUGUGUCUGUUCUGUUUACAGUUUUAUUGCCAGAACCUAGCCCAAUGCCUGACACCUAGUAGCCAUUCCGUAAACGUUCAUCAACUGGCCAACUCUGCUUCCCACUUCAAUCAUGCAUUUCCCCUGCUGUUCAUUGAUGUAUUGGUUUACUGCUGCUUUUCUGCUAUUUAUGCUUAUCUGUUUAAUGUUAGCUGUCUUAAGUUGUACUUUCCUGGAGGGCAGAGAAUCCAUGUAUAUAAUUUUCUUUCUAUAGUGCUUUGUACGUGGGUGUAUGUGGCAGUAAGUGUUACCAUGGAAGGGACUUUGACUACAUAAGUCGUGGUGACUUAUGACUCCCUGUGUUACCCCUGGGAAUGCCCAAGGUGCAAGGGGCAGGAUAUGGGGCAGGAAUGUAACAGCACAGGAGGUUUUAGGACACUGUUAAAAGUAGCUUCUCUCAAAACUAGUAAUACUGCAGGGUAACAGGAGGAAAGAAUAGAGGAUGCUUUGGGAAAUUAAGAAAAACAGGGAGAAGUGGCAGAGCUUAAAUCCAUAGGCCUCAUUUUCCACAAGGACAUUAGAGUGCUAUUAAGCCAAGGAGAACCAUUAGCUCUGACAACAGCUCCUCUUGUUAUGACCCCUUUGGUGGUAUUUUUAUUACUUUUUAAAAUAAAGGUUGAGGAUUAACUUUUACAGUUGUAACUAGAACAAUGAUAAACAGGACUCAUGGGGUGUAAUCAUAAAAAAAAGAACUUUGUUUUUGGCUCCCACUGUUCCUUUAAACUUGCUCAGUAGUGACGGUCCUAACUCCAUUCCUGGACAAAUGCUUUUCUUGCAGGCAUUAGGAAGCCCUCCAGUCGCUUUAUGUAAUAAAACAUGAUCUCAGUUAGGUACUUAAUAUGUUGAGCCCAGGUAUUGUCACUGUUUCCAAAGUUUUUCAGCUUUAAGCUAUUUGUCCUCCUUCAUCUUGGGUUUGCUACGAGUGAAAAGCGGGGUGUGGUCCUUCUUUCUUUUCUGAAGUUUCUGACCCUUCCAGGAUUAGAGCAAGGAAGUAUGAGAGAGCAGGAAAUAUUGUACUUGUCUCAUGUUGUUGAAGCUGGCUUUGUGUUCUCCAGGAAUGGCCAAUGUUUAAAUUUAGCUUUCUCCUGGGGCACUUUUGUGGGUUCUUCAGAGAUCUUUACUCCCCUCCAUAUACGCACACACACACUUGACCUGGGCAAAGUACACUUUCCUCUGUCAGUUGCUUUCUUCCUCUAUAGCCCCUAAUAAAUCAACAGUCCAUUUCCAGUUUCUCUGUGAGAAACCAUUUUUUUGCUCACACAAGCUCUGAGACUAUAGGCAAUCCCAACAUUGUUAAGCAGCUGCUAGCCCAUACAAUGGCCCCUACAUUUCUUGGGCUGGAAUCAGAAAUUAGUCUAUUCUGCCCCUCUAACUGCACGAGACACAUAUCAAGCUCUCUGAGGGCUCCCCUUGAAGCUCUUCUCAGUAGGCUUGUGGUGAAAUGUAGGCACCAUUCUUUCUUUGGAGGGGAAACCCACAGCAUACCAAUGCUUCUCACCAAAUAAAUUUUUUUCCAAAAAAUUUCUCUUAAUAUCCAACAGCUUCUUAAUAUGGGUGAAGAUUUUAGCGUUUCAUCACUGUUUUUCAACGCUUUUCUAUGAAAACUUGCAUCUUUGCUGACACCUCACUUUUUUUUUUCUUUUUUUGUGGUAUGUGGGCCUCUCACUGUUGUGGCCUCUCCCGUUGCGGAGCACAGGCUCCGGACACGCAGGCUCAGCGACCAUGGCUCUCGGGCCCAGCUGCUCCGCGGCAUGUGGGAUCUUCCCGGACUGGGGCACGAACCUGUGUCCCCUGCAUCGACAGGCGGACUCUCAACCACUGCGCCACCAGAGAAGCCCAACACCUCACUUUUGUAUCACAUGGAUAUGACAUAGUGGAGCCUCUGUUGAAACUUCCAAAUAGCACUGUGUACUUACUGUCAUUGAAUAGGGAUUUCAGGAACUAAGUAAUUCAUUUCUGUGUAAGGGGAGAUAAUAUCAUUUUCUCCUCUCUUCUGUUGAGGAAACUUAAUUAUCCUCAUCUAUAAAAUGGACCCCCAUCCUUUCCUUGCCUCGCUAAGGGUAGGUAAAUAAGAAAUUGUGAGCAUAAAGAUGACUCUGGAUGGACAGGCCCUGGGGAAAUAAUCUGCAAAUGAAGAAUUUUUUACAAAAAAGGCAAGUAGAGAUGAAGGGCUUGAUGGAAAGAAGAAAAGAAAAGGCCCAAUAUCAUCAGUGUUUUUCUAAACCCCAUCCUAACCCCUCCUACCUCCACUUUGGUUUGGAGCUGUCUUCUUGUUAUAUUCAGGUCCCUAUUAUAGCCCCCAAACAAUGGUUGCCCAGAGCAGAGACAGGUCCUGUUAGAUCAAUAAUCCUUGGUUCUGUGUUUUCCAGCUCUAUCUGUGUCUGUCUGUAGGUUUAAGGUGGGAGGGGUAAAUGUCAUCACUUUUGACAAAAUGUCUGAAUAUCUUUUCUCUAUCAUGACAAAAAGAUAUUUUGGUCUCCUGGUUCAGCACCAGAGCCUGCCUUACAAGGAGUUGAAAGGCUGCAACCCAGGGCUGCUGUCAAACCAGCAGAUGGAGUAGCAGUCCUUCUCUGUGUACCUCUGGGCCCACCUGGGCAGGUGUGCUGGGUGAUGCUAGGCCCAGUUCUGCGGGCAGAAGGGACAGGGAAAUGAAUACAAAUGAUUGUACCCCAUUGUCAUAGCUGUUGUUCAGUCUGCAGAGGAGUUUGGUAAAAUGUGAUCCUGGGAAAGUUGUUUUCAUGUGCCUCUCUGGAAUCACUGCAGAAGCAAUUGUAAGGAGUGAGUGCUUGUAUGCCUGAGAUAGCUAUAGGGCAUAAGAGAAGGAAAGCUACAGAGUUGACAGAAUCAAGUCCUGGGCAGUGGGAGAAUAUGACACAAUCCCCUCACCCCUCAAAAACCUUGGUGAGGACACAGGAAUACAACCAGUGGCUCUUGAUGGAAAAGGGCAGGCUUAAGAGGAAAGUUUGGACAAUGAAGCUGAAUUACCAUCUGCCUAACUCCUUCUCUGUCUGAAUUGCAGGCACUGGAGUCCCUCUUACUAAAAUCUGUAGAUUGCCUAAGAAAUUUACUUUGGGGCCAGUAGUAGAAUUUAAAAGCUUCCCUGAGAUUGCUUCUUCCUAUUUUCUAAGAAUCUACCACACAGCUAAGUAUUUGACAGCUCUUAAUAAAUUAUGGAGGCAUUAAUGGCACUCUCAUUGAGAACUUUCUUCUGCCCCUUUCAGGCCUACAGGACCCCGUCUGUGAAAGGGAGAGUCCUCCUACCUCCUCCCCUGUGAAUGGAAAAAGGCUUCAGAAUAGAAGAUGGGCGGGCAGUGGAUAGAUUUCUACUUUCUGAGGGCAGGGCCUGUGUCUCUCCUCCCUGACUUCCCCUAUCUAAAUAACCCAAAUCCAGAAGUAGGGGUGGAUUGGGGGACUCAGGAUAGCCUCCAUAACCCACGGCCUAACCACUGCAGACAGCCCAGGAAGCCAGAGGGAAGGUGUCCUCCUGACUGGUCCUUUGCUCAAUCCUGAACUGAGGGGAGUUGAGGUGCUUGCAUUAUUAGCUACAGAGCAGGUGGCACAGUGUGCUCUUCAUUGAAAAUCGAGAGGUGUCUGGCAAGUCUCUUGGCCACAGGCCUCCCUGGAGCCCAGAGCUCUUUGAAGAGAAGAAAUAGUUCUAGGAAAAAGGAAGCUGCUGCUCUUGAUGAAAAAGUUGAGAAGGAAGGAAAUGAGACUAACAAGGGCUGAAGAGAACUGUCUGAGGCUGAAGAGAAUGUUAAUGGCUCUGCUUUGGAGCUUCAAAGCUUGAGCUGGAUAGGACUGCACCCAGACGCCUCUGCUGUCACCUACAGAAUACUUACCAAGGGCUGAGGCUUGCAAAUAAUCACAGCCUGACUUUCCCAGAGCGAGAAGAAGUGCCUGCUGAGAUGGAGAAGAGAGAAACUGUUGGGACAUCCCAGGCCCAGCUCAGCUAGUUGGGGUCUAACUGGUCUUUUCUGCAUCAGACAACAAAUGGGAUUCCAGAAGAAUUUAGGUGCAAGGGAAGUGGCUCUCAUUGAACAAAUCUGGCUAACAGUUGUCUCGUAAACAGGGAAACUGUUUAUGAAAUGAUAGCUGCUAUGGAUUGAAUUUUGUCCCCCUAAAAUGCAUAUGUUAAAAGCCCUAACCCCCAAUGUGGUGGUAUUUGGAGAAGGGUCUUCGGGAGGUACUUAGGUUUAGAUGAAGUUAUAAGGGUGGGACUCUCACGAUGGAAUUAGUAUUCUUAUAAGAGGAGACAUCAGAGGACUUGCUACCUAUCCUACCCCACCCCACUCUCCCAUUCCCCCACCCCAUGUGGGCACACAGCAAGAAAGCAGCCACAGGAAGAAAGCCCAUGUAAGAACUCAACCACACUGGUGCCCUGGCCUCAGACUUCCAGCCUCCAGACUGUGGGAAAUAAAUUUAAGCCACUUACUCUAUGGUAUUUUCUUAAGGCAGCCAGAGCUGACUAAUACAGUAGCUCUAAUAGAUGCUGUUGGUACCCUGCUAAAAUUCCCUUACCACAUCAGUGUAUCCAUUUUCCUAGCUGCUGUAUUGAGUUCCAGUGGCUCACAGAUGCCCCCUUCUCCAGAAAAUUGCUCAUGGUGGAUGGGAGACACCUUCUGUAGCCCCUAUAGCUUUCAGACAAGGAGGUACAAAGGCCUUGAGGAAGGAUCAUUUCUUUACCCCAAAGAAGGAUCAAUUUUUUGGUGCCAUUCAUGCUCCUGAAUUGUCCCGUAGGAUCAGGCUGAGGCCAAAUACAAAGCUGUGACCACAUCCACCUUUCUUACCAUUUCCUGCUUCCUUCAUUCUCUUUCUCCUGAGGGCAGACCUCAACAAAUCACAUGACCUGAAUCCUGUCUCAGGCUAUGCUCCUGGGGAACCCAACUUAAGGCAGCACUUCUCCCAAGUGGUAGAGUACUGAGCAACCUAAAUGACUCUAUAAUGCUUUGUGAGUAUAGUGAUGGUGAUUAAUGCCCAAUGAUAAUGAAUAUUGGGAAAAACAGCCCUUAUUUCUGUGUCCAAAAAGUGUGGAGGAAUAAAGGUCCACAGAGAAAGAAGAUGAGGAUGUGUUCUUCUAGCAAUAGAUGGCUUCUUCAGCAGGCAUCUGGUGGACAGCUGUGCUUUUCUUGCCAGCAAGUGUUUAAAUAGCCUUGUUAGCACAGAGCCACAGACUGAGAUUCCACAUGGGCUUAACCAAUUAUGGAAGCAUCUUGACUUCAAGAAUCCCUGAGCCAUGACUAGACAGCAGAGUCAACUGGGCAGGUCUAUGCAUUGAUUGAGAGCCAGACAGGCUCUACACUUCCCUCAGCAGGGUCCAGAGUUCUCUGAAAGGAGAAGCCCAGCACCUGCCCAGGGAACUCUCUGCUUUGAUGGAGUGAUUUAGAUACUCGGGAACUGUCCCCUCUCUGCUAUGUUUUGCUCAGUCUAUUGGCUUUUUCAUGAUGCUUUUUUGUUCUUAGGAGAUUCUUUUUCAUUCUUUUUUUGUAAUAGUUCCCUUUGUUUUCCCUCUCUCUUCCUUUUCUACCUCCUGCUUUCCUCUCUGAGUGCAGGCUUCAUCAUCAGAGCCUCUGAAAUUUGGGACUGGCUCCAUCUUAGGAGAAUGAGGGUGGAUUCUAACAUUAUCCCAAGAAAGCCUCCACCAGAUAAUUUCUUCCUGCUUCUGGUUACCUCUUAGAGCUUAACUUCCUUAUCUCUAACAGUGGGGAUAGGAAGGGAUGGAGUAGGUGAAGGGGCAGAGAACUCUCUCCUGACAUGCCACUGGGUCAUGGCAUUCCACUGACCCACCUUGGCCCAUCUAUUUUGAUAAUGGCCCUAGGAAAUAUGUGUGAGAGAGCACAGUAAAUGCUUGUCCAGAUGCUCUCAAAGAUUUAGGGACAUGCCUCAAAUAUCCCUAACCUCUUUAACAAGUACUUAGUUGCCUCACAGGAAAAUGAGAGUGGCUCCUGAUUCUUCUUCUCAAGAGACCUUGUGUUUAGAUUUAGAGAUGAAAGGGGGAAUUUUGGACAACUCCUACUCAUUUCCAUAACUUUUCUCCCAACAUAUUUUGUGGGAGGGAAUAAAAUAGAGGUAGCAUGAGGACCUUAUAUCAGACAACUGAAAGGCAGGUAUCUGCUUUCUUCUCAAACAUCUCCAACGAAGAGUAGACUUGCUUCAGGAAGACUAAAUCCAUGAGUUCAGAUGCUGCAUGAAGGUGUAGAUUAUUACCAUCACUUGGUUUUGUUUGCUGCUAUAUUGUUUCGUUCUUAGAUAGGCUCUCCACACAUGGCAGCCAGAUGGCCACCAGCAGCUCCAAACCAGUGCUACCCUUAGAACUCACCAUUCCAGAGGGAAAGAGCAUGUACCUUUCCCAGAACUCCUACAAAAGUGCAGAGAAGACUGUAAUUGGUGUGGUCUUAAGUCAUAUGACCUUCUCUGAACUAGUUGCUGUGUGCAGAGGUGUGGAAUAAUCUCAUGGGCUAGUCCUGGAUCCUGUUCUUACCCCUGAGGUUGGGGGGAGGAUCUUACCCCUCCAGUCUUAGAAAAGCUAAGGGAUGGAGAGACUUCCUUAAGGAACUGAUGCUUGGGGAGGAACAUGUGUCCUUUACAGCAUGCAUUGUCUAUUCUUCUCUUUGACUAUGGAGUACAUCUAGCUUGUUCAAAUGAAAUUGCUUAUGAAAGACAAAUUAUGGGUGAAGUAGUCAGUUGUGAAUAGUGCUUUCUAGACUCAGGUGUGAAGAAAGCACACUCAGCUCAAGAAAGGAUCAAAUCAGUCCAGCUGGUUUGAGGAGCUUCUGGUCAUAGUGUCCAGGGAACCAGCUGGAUAGGGGUGUCAGAGAACCACAAGGAGGAGUCAGUCGUGCCAUGAACUCAAGGGCUAUACCAGCAGGAGCAGGCUGGCAGAUAGUAGCACUCAGUUAAUAUUUGUGGAAUGGCUUCUCUGAGAAUCACAGGUCAAAGAUAAAGCUUGGGGACUUCCCUGGUGGUACAGUGGUUAAGAAUCCACCUGCCAAUGCAGGGGACAUGGGUUUGAGCCUUGGUCCGGGAAGAUCCCAUAUGCCGCGGAGCAACUAAGCCCGUGCGCCACAACUACUGAGCCUGCAAUCUAGAGCCCAUGAGCCACAACUGCUGAGCCCACAUGCUGCAACAACUGAAGCCCACACGCCUGGAGCCCAUGCUCCACAACAAGAGAAGCCACCGCAAUGAGAAGCCUGCUCACUGCAACAAAGAGUAGCCACUGCUCACCACAACUAGAGAAAGCCCACGCACAGCAACAAAGACCCAACACAGCCAUAAGUAAAUAAAUAAAUAAAUUAAUUAAAACAACAAAAAAAGAGUCUGUCUAGAAGAUAAAGCUAGGAGAAGCAGGAAGAACCAAGAACUGAAGGCAGAGUCCCAUGCUAAGCCAGAGUUCCAUUCUUUGAUCAAGCCGUGUUCCCACAAUUUGCCAGACUGUACACAGCUGAUACUCUAGGAUUUUCCUAUACUAUAAAGUUAUUGUUUUGGGAAUUCCCUGGCAGUCCAGUGGUUAGGACUCCAUGUUUCCAUUGCAGGAGGCACGGGUUCAAUCCCUGGUCAGGGAACUAAUCCCAUAAGUCGCAUGGCUUUGCCAAAAAAAAAUAUAUAUAUAUUGUUUUGUUGUCUUUAUUCUAAAUAGCUGGUAAAGUAUAUGACUUUCUAGUAACUCAUGGUGGAGGUCAGGGUAGGCACCAGAUAACAAUGACAGGUGGAUACUGGUCUCCUGUUUCUUCAGAAACAGGCUAUGGUCUUCUUGAGAGUGGUUUUUAGACUUUGUGACAUUGUAAUAAAUUGUCACAAUUAUAGAUAAAUGCCAGAGAAAGAUUCCACAAUUGAGGCUUUCUUUUUUAAGAUUCUUUUAUGUGGACUAUUUUUUUAAAAAUAAAUUUAUUUAUUUAUUUUUGGCUGUGUUGGGUCUUCAUUGCUGCUCAUGGGCUUUCUCUAGUUGCGGAGCGCAGGGGCUACUCUUUGUUGCGGUGUGCGGGCUUCUUAUUGCGGUGGCUUCUCUUGUUGUGGAGCAUGGGCUCUAGGCGCGUGGGUUUCAGUAGUUGUGGCAUGCAGGCUCAGUAGUUGUGGCACGUGGGCUCUAGAGAGCAGGCUCAGUAGUUGUGGCGCAUGGGCUUAGUUGAUCAGUGGCAUGUGGGAUCUUCCCAGACCAGGGAUUGAACCUGUGUCCCCUGCAUUGGCAGGUGGACUCUUAACCUCUGUGCCACCAGGGAAGUCCCCUUAUGUGGACCAUUUUUAAAGUCUUUAUUGAAUUUGUUACAGUAUUACUUCUGUUUUAUGUUUUGUUUUUUUUGCCACGAGGCAUGUGUUAUCUUAGCUCCCCCACCAGGGAUCGAACCCGCACCCCCUGCAUUGGAAGGCAAAGUCUUAACACUGGACCGCCAGGGAAGUCCCCCACAAUUGAGACUUUCUAAGCAACAUUUCCUUGGACAUGGUUGGGCUUUGGGAGAUGUGUGCUGAUUUAUCCUUUCUUCUAUCCUCCCUCCCACGUCUCCGUGCACUGCUUCUGUGGCUGGUGGACAGGCAGGCAUCAGUGUGUGCUCUAGGGAAGCAUGUGGGCUCUCAGACAGGGAGUUGGCACUCAACGAGCUGGCUGAGGCACAAUGUGGAAAUGAAAAGAUAAAAACCUGAGAUAUGUGAUGGGGGUUGUAGUUUGGAAUAAAUGGGCUCAGGCCCUCUGCCCAGUCAGCCUAGCACUCUGGCAGCUGCUGCAUUUAAUGGACAACUCCAUUAACAUCUUCUUGGAUAGAAGGAAGGAGAGUGAGGGAGAAAAAGGGAGAGUGGGGGAGGGAGAGAGAGAUAGGGAAGAAGGGAAAGGUUGGGGGGAAAUGAGAGAGAGAGAGAGGUGAGUGUGUGUGUGUGUGUGUGUGUGUGUGUGUGUAUGUGUGUGUGUGUGUGUGUGUUGGGAGGAACUAAAAAAACUUGGAGCUUUCCUCCAUGUCCCCGGGGGGGUACUUUGUGUGGUUCCCUUAGUCUGUGUGCUGUCUCAGGCUUUGACAGCUGAGGUGGAGCUGGGAAGGGUAGCAAUUUGGAUAGGGUAGAAUGAGGGCUGAAACAACCUGCCUUCUCAUCCCCACAGGAUAAGGGGAAUGAGAAGGAAUACAUCCUUUCCCCUUUGUAAUGAAGAAAUUGUAGGUCCUAGAAUUUGGAAGAUAAAACAUGGGGGAUUUGGGGGUGCCCUCUGAUUCUGUGAUGAGAAGAGGGGAAAGAAGAGGUGAAGUGAGUCCCAGGAUUCAGAAGCUGGUUCAUGAGUGAGAAGAAACUGGUUCCCACUGCAGGAGGAGAGGAGGGACAGGUCUAAAGAGGAAAACCAAGGCAACAGAUACCCAUCAUCUGCCUGAGCGUGCUAAGUUCAGGCCGUCUCUGGAGGCUAGAGAAGGAUAAGAUGCCUCAUACCAUGGCUAACGAAUGAGACUCAAAACCUAUGAGAUAAUCGUGGUGCCCGAGACUUGCUGAGUCCCCAGCAUACCAUGGGACCAUGAAGGAUAGUAACAAGAAACCACAUUUCCACUGAGGGAUUUUCAGUCUUAGUAUCUUCCCACUCUAGCCUUUUAGCUGCUGUCAGACCACAUCAGGGCAGAAUAUUGAAGCCAACUAUAUCACAGCUGCUGGGGAUCUCCCCAGAGGAGAGUAUAUGACAAGAGUGGGAAGAGCAGCUCUGAUCCAAGACUUUGCUCCUGGCAUCCCUGAAUGCCCUUGCCAGCUCACUUCCUCUCAAAAGUCACUUCCAGAGGCAAGCUAGGUAUUUGGGGUGCUGCCUACCCACAAAUCCACAGAACUCAGAGACAAGUUCUCAGUCAGAUCAAGACUGUGAUUCUCGAGUGUAUGGGCCUGACCCCUAAGUCCUGGGUCGAGGUGGAGGUCAGAUUGGAGGGUAUAGUGAAUAGGUCCCUGGCUUAGAGGUCAAAAUUGCCAGAUUCUGGUCCUCAUUAUACCCUAUGUAGCUGUAUGACCUUGAGCUAUUACUUGAGUUCUUCAGACUUUAGUUUUUCAUCUGUAAAAUGAGGAUAAUAAUACCUUCCUCAGAGAGCUAUUAUCAAAAUCAGAUAAUAUACAAAAAGCACUUUGUGGGCUUCCCUGGUGGCUCAGUGGUUAAGAAUCCGCCUGCUAAUGCAGGGAACACGGGUUCAAGCCCUGGUCUGGGAAGAUCCCACAUGCUGCGGAGCAACUAAGCCCGUGUGCCCCAACUACUGAGCCUGCGCUCUAGAGCCCGAGAGCCACAACUACUGAGCCUGCAUGCCACAUCUACUGAAGCCCGCGUGCCUAGAGCCCGUGCCCCUCAACAAGAGAAGCCACUGCAAUGAGAAGCCCGUGCACUGCAACGAAAAGUAGCUCCCGCUCGCCACAACUAGAGAAAUCCCACGCGCAGCAACGAAGACCCAACGCAGCCAAAAAUAAAUAAAUAAAUUUGUUUAUUUAAAAAAAAGCACUUUGUAAAAUGCUGUACGGGUGGAAAGGAAUUAUUCCCCCAUUCCAUCAUUCUGUUUUCCAAAUCCAAAGGCCUCUCCUUGGAAUGUGUGAAAGCUAUUGGGUUCAAGGUAAGCGUCUGGAAAGGUGUGUGUGUGGUGAGGGCAAGGAGAUAUAAAGGGAGGGUAAAAGGUGCGGUGAAGUGGUGUUCCCUGUAGUCAUAGAGGAUUUGACAUGAGCUUCUUACUCAUACAGUAAGAGUCUAUAAAUACUUAUUGAGUUGAUCCCUGUGGCAUAACAAGAAAUACAUAUUUGAUCAUUGUCUCCAGUUUCUGACAAAGAGCUCCCCAAACCCUUGUAAUUUCCUGAGUAAUGGGGGUGAUAGCAGCAUCUUUUGUUUCUGACACAGAGCUCCUAAAUCCCUUGGAAUUUCCAGGGUAAUAGGAUCCUUUUUUGUUCUAAUGAAGUGACUCUUGGUGGGACCCUGGAUAGCUUCAGGAUAGGGGCUGGUCACCAGAAAGACUAAUCUUGAUUAGAAGCCUGGAACUUUCAUCCCACUCCCCCUACCCACUGAGGAGAGAAGAGGGGCUGGAGAUUGAGUAAAUAAUCUAUCAUGGCUAUGUGAUAAAACCUCCAUAAAAGCCCCUAAAUGACAAAGUUCCAAGAGCUUUCAGUUUUGUGAAUGCAUUCACGUGCCAGGAGGGUGGUGCCCCCACGUCCAUGGGGACAGAAUCUCCUGCAGUUGGGACCCUUCCGGCCCUCAUCCUACAUACCUCUUUAUCUGGCUGUUUAUAUGUAUCCUUUAUAAUGUCCUUUAUAAUAAACCAGUAACUGCAAGUAAGGGCCUUUCCUUAGUUCUAUGAGCUGUUCUAGCAAAUUAUUGCACCUGAGAAGAGUCAUGGGAACCCCAAAUUUAUAGCUAGCUGGUCGGAAGUAGAGGAGGCCAAAGGCUUGCAACUGGCAUCCGAAAUGGAAAGCAGCCUUGUGGGACUGAGCCCUUAACCUGUGAGACCCGAUGCUAAUUUCCAGUAGUUAGUGUCAGAAUUGAAUUGAAUUGUAGGACAUGCUGCCAGUGUCCAGAGAGUUGGAGAAUUGGUGUUGGUGUAAGGAAAGCCUCCCACACAUUUUGGAGGUGUUCUGAAAGUAGAAACAGAUUUUAGCAGUGGUACUGCAGCCAGGAAACCACUGGCUUCAAAUACCUGGGGGCCUGACAGCUCUCUGAUAAAGGAAAGGCAAAUGGGGACACCAGAAAAUGGGAAUUUUGGCACGGAGAAUGAGGGGCAGACUGUACAAAAAUGCUUUUGCUGUGAUUCUUAUGCCUCCCCCUGGCCCCUCUUUGAUCUUUUCAGCUUUCACUCUAGCAUUAAUCAUUUAGCCCUGUGUCCCAGUCCUAAUUCCCCAAAGAGAAUCGGACCCCUUCCUUGCCUUUUCAUACCAGGCCUCGCCAGGUUGCCUCAGUUCAGAGCUAUGGUUGGAGGGCUUGGGCUCUCAUA